rnacentral:ncRNA from 2 species
UGUCCCACCUCGGGGUGCCCGCAAGGGCUGAGACGCUGCGCGCGAACCCGUUGAACCUGACCCGGUUAGGACCGGCGGAGGGAAGGUGCAUGGCUCCUCA